rnacentral:rRNA from 1 species
AUUGAACGCUGGCGGCAUGCCUUACACAUGCAAGUCGAACGGCAGCACGGGAGCUUGCUCCUGGUGGCGAGUGGCGAAUGGGUGAGUAAUACAUCGGAACGUACCCUGAAGUGGGGGAUAACGUAGCGAAAGUUACGCUAAUACCGCAUAUUCUGUGAGCAGGAAAGAGGGGGAUCGCAAGACCUCUUGCUUUAGGAGCGGCCGAUGUCGGAUUAGCUAGUUGGUGAGGUAAAGGCUCACCAAGGCGACGAUCCGUAGCGGGUCUGAGAGGAUGAUCCGCCACACUGGGACUGAGACACGGCCCAGACUCCUACGGGAGGCAGCAGUGGGGGAAUUUUGGACAAUGGGCGCAAGCCUGAUCCAGCCAUGCCGCGUGAGUGAAGAAGGCCU